rnacentral:rRNA from 1 species
AUUGAACGCUGGCGGCAUGCUUUACACAUGCAAGUCGAACGGUAGAGGGGGCAACCCCUUGAGAGUGGCGAACGGGUGAGUAAUGCAUCGGUACGUGCCCAGUCGUGGGGGAUAGCCCGGGGAAACCCGGAUUAAUACCGCAUACGACCUGAGGGUGAAAGCGGGGGACCGAAAGGCCUCGCGCGAUUGGAGCGGCCGAUGUCGGAUUAGGGAGGUGGUGGGGUAAAGGCCUACCAAGCCUGCGAUCCGUAGCUGGUCUGAGAGGACGACAAGCCACACUGGGACUGAGACACGGCCCAGAGUCCUACGGGAGGCAGCAGUGGGGAAGUUUGGACAAUGGGCGCAAGCCUGAUCCAGCCAUGCCGCGUGCGGGAAGAAGGCCUUCGGGUUGUAAACCGCUUUUGUCAGGGAAGAAAUCCUUUGGACUAAUACUCUGGGGGGAUGACGGUACCUGAAGAAUAAGCACCGGCUAACUACGUGCCAGCCGCCGCCGUAA